CACGUAGGGCGCAAGCGUUGUCCGGAAUUAUUGGGCGUAAAGAGCUCGUAGGCGGUCUGUUGCGUCCGCUGUGAAAACUCGGGGCUUAACCCCGAGCCUGCAGUGGAUACGGGCAGACUAGAGGUAGGUAGGGGAGAAUGGAAUUCCCGGUGUAGCGGUGAAAUGCGCAGAUAUCGGGAGGAACACCGGUGGCGAAGGCGGUUCUCUGGGCCGGACCUGACGCUGAGGAGCGAAAGCGUGGGGAGCGAACAGG
rnacentral:rRNA from 1 species